rnacentral:rRNA from 1 species
GGUGAAAAGCACCCCGGAAGGGGAGUGAAAUAGAACCUGAAACCGUGUGCUUACAAGUAGUCAGAGCCCGUUAAUGGGUGAUGGCGUGCCUUUUGUAGAAUGAACCGGCGAGUUACGAUUUGAUGCAAGGUUAAGCAGUAAAUGUGGAGCCGUAGCGAAAGCGAGUCUGAAUAGGGCGUUUAGUAUUUGGUCGUAGACCCGAAACCAGGUGAUCUACCCUUGGUCAGGUUGAAGUUCAGGUAACACUGAAUGGAGGACCGAACCGACUUACGUUGAAAAGUGAGCGGAUGAACUGAGGGUAGCGGAGAAAUUCCAAUCGAACCUGGAGAUAGCUGGUUCUCUCCGAAAUAGCUUUAGGGCUAGCCUCAAGUGAUGAUUAUUGGAGGUAGAGCACUGUUUGGACGAGGGGCCCCUCUCGGGUUACCGAAUUCAGACAAACUCCGAAUGCCAAUUAAUUUAACUUGGGAGUCAGAACAUGGGUGAUAAGGUCCGUGUUCGAAAGGGAAACAGCCCAGACCACCAGCUAAGGUCCCAAAAUAUAUGUUAAGUGGAAAAGGAUGUGGCGUUGCCCAGACAACUAGGAUGUUGGCUUAGAAGCAGCCAUCAUUUAAAGAGUGCGUAAUAGCUCACUAGUCGAGUGACACUGCGCCGAAAAUGUACCGGGGCUAAACAUAUUACCGAAGCUGUGGAUUGUCCUUUGGACAAUGGUAGGAGAGCGUUCUAAGGGCGUUGAAGCAUGAUCGUAAGGACAUGUGGAGCGCUUAGAAGUGAGAAUGCCGGUGUGAGUAGCGAAAGACGGGUGAGAAUCCCGUCCACCGAUUGACUAAGGUUUCCAGAGGAAGGCUCGUCCGCUCUGGGUUAGUCGGGUCCUAAGCUGAGGCCGACAGGCGUAGGCGAUGGAUAACAGGUUGAUAUUCCUGUACCACCUAUAAUCGUUUUAAUCGAUGGGGGGACGCAGUAGGAUAGGCGAAGCGUGCGAUUGG